AACAAUUAUUUUUACUACACUUUAUUUGGCAGCAAAUAAAAUGCAAGCUUAGCAUACAAUGUUGCUUUUGAUCACCCUAUAUGAUAUUUCAUAGCUUAUAUUAGAGAUUUAUCUGAGUGUUGUUGAUUUUUCUUGUUUGCUGUGGUUUGGGGUGCUUUUUAACCUGUAGAAGAGCUAUAGGAGUAAAUGUUAUUCAUGCAUACAUUAAAUGUCAGAUGUUUUGUUGCAUCUCUUCUUGCAGUGGACAAUGCACUGUGCAAGUAUGUAAAAUUCUGAUCUGACUUUUAGGUUUUCAAGCAUUAUCAAAUUUCAUGUUUGAAAUGGGACUUCAAGAGAUACUGUAAAUUAAUGAGAGACUGAUCCUGCUCUUGGGAUCGUUACUGGAGAUGAUUGCAUGCUACAGAGCUUUUCACAACUUCCUUAAAGUGGGGGAGUCCACAAACAGGCCAGAAAUGCCAAUACCACACUCAUUGCCCAGAGCCGAGUCAAAUUACAUGUAUUAUUUAGGGGUUUUCCCCAGAAACCCACAAAGCAUCAACUUAAGGUCCAGUCUCUCUUGGAUGAGACCAAUUUUCUAGAUGCAUUUCAAUCAAGAUUUAGAACUGUGGCAGAGAAAUUGCUUUGGUCACCCUGCAUGUUGACCUGUAUCUGGAGAGAGGCAUGGGUAGUGUGACCUGUUGAUUCUCCUUGAUUUCUCCAUGACUUUCGAUACGAACCAUGGUAUCCCCCUGUAUGGCUGUUCGAACUGGGAUUCGAUGGCAGUGCUUUCCAGUAUUUCCAUUCCUAUUUUGUCAUGUGUCGCAAGAGAGGUUGCGAUGGAGGAGGCAAGUCACAAUGACCCUUAAGGUACAGAUAAGGGACUAUGAAUAAGAAAGAAUAAUUUGCCUAAAGUCCAUCCUGA